ACCUCAAGUGACGACGCCAUCCCGCGAGCUCCACCGCGCCUGCAAGGGCCACGCCGGACUUCCUACCACGGUGACGUCUGGAGAGAGCGAGCUUCGACUGCUGCGGCGGCCGCAGCGGCAACACCAUCACCUGGGAGAGUUCGGGGAGAUCGGUCGGGAUCCGUCGCCGCCGCCUCUGGUCUCGCCUCCAACCGCCACUAACGGUCGUCUUCCUCUGCAAAUGACGCCGCCGCAUUGCCUCCGCGCCUCAUGCCGCCUUGCUGGCCGCCGUGUAGGACAGUGAGAGGGGAUUGAGAUGGAGUUGGAGAGGCGGAGGGAGUGAGGGAUGCUGAUGACUAUGGAGAGAGUGGGGGCGAGUUGAGGGUGACGCUGGGUAGGUGAAUUUUUUGGGGGGUUGUGUCACUCAUGUUUAUUAAUAUGAUUUGUAUAUAUUUAUAUGUAAUUAGUGGUACCCAGCUUUUUAUUGCAAACAAAAAUGUGUUAGCCUCACUUUUUUAAAUAUAUUUUAUAUGUUUAUUUAUAUAAUGUAGUAUAAAAUUAUUAAAAUAUUUUUAUCAAUUCCACUUUUGUUCAU